rnacentral:pre_miRNA from 1 species
AACACCCCCUUAACCUUCUAACCCAUCAAAUUAAAUGAGUUGAUGGGUUGACUCAACUCAUUUGGCUAAAUGAGUUGAGUCAACCCAUGAACUCAUUUAACUCUAAACUCAUUGGGUAAUGAGU